rnacentral:rRNA from 1 species
ACAGCAGCAGCCGCGGUAAUACCGAGGGUGCGAGCGUUAAUCGGAUUUACUGGGCGUAAAGCGUGCGUAGGCGGCUUUUUAAGUCGGAUGUGAAAUCCCUGAGCUUAACUUAGGAAUUGCAUUCGAUACUGGGAAGCUAGAGUAUGGGAGAGGAUGGUAGAAUUCCAGGUGUAGCGGUGAAAUGCGUAGAGAUCUGGAGGAAUACCGAUGGCGAAGGCAGCCAUCUGGCCUAAUACUGACGCUGAGGUACGAAAGCAUGGGGAGCAAACAGGAUUAGAUACCCCAGUAGUCCCUGUCUCUUAUAC